AAUAAUUAUAGUGGACAGGGCAGAACCUCGAAACCACUUUUACACUCUCACUCGAUCAUGUUCAGUUCAAAUAUAUCGUCAAGUUCAUUUCAAAUAAAUCACAAGUGAUGA